rnacentral:rRNA from 1 species
UACAGAGGGUGCGAGCGUUGUCCGGAAUCACUGGGCGUAAAGGGCGCGUAGGCGGCUUGAUAAGCGUGCGGUGAAAGCCCGGGGCUCAACCCCGGGUCGGCCGUGCGAACUGUCGAGCUGGAGCACUGUAGAGGCAGGUGGAAUUCCGGGUGUAGCGGUGGAAUGCGUAGAGAUCCGGAAGAACACCGGUGGCGAAGGCGGCCUGCUGGGCAGUGGCUGACGCUGAGGUGCGAAGGUAUGGGGAGCAAAUAGG